rnacentral:rRNA from 1 species
GACGAACGCUGGCGGCGUGCCUAAUACAUGCAAGUUGAGCGAUGAAGAUUGGUGCUUGCACCAAUUUGAAGAGCAGCGAACGGGUGAGUAACGCGUGGGGAAUCUGCCUUUGAGCGGGGGACAACACUUGGAAACGAAUGCUAAUACCGCAUAACAACUUUAAACAUAAGUUUUAAGUUUGAAAGAUGCAAUUGCAUCACUCAAAGAUGAUCCCGCGUUGUAUUAGCUAGUUGGUGAGGUAAAGGCUCACCAAGGCGAUGAUACAUAGCCGACCUGAGAGGGUGAUCGGCCACAUUGGGACUGAGACACGGCCCAAACUCCUACGGGAGGCAGCAGUAGGGAAUCUUCGGCAAUGGACGAAAGUCUGGCCGAGCAACGCCGCGUGAGUGAAGAAGGUUUUCGGAUCGUAAAACUCUGUUGGUAGAGAAGAACGUUGGUGAGAGUGGAAAGCUCAUCAAGUGACGGUAACUACCCAGAAAGGGACGGCUAACUACGUG